UACGAAGGGGGCUAGCGUUGCUCGGAAUCACUGGGCGUAAAGCGCGCGCAGGCGGCCUUUUAAGUCUGAUGUGAAAGCCCACGGCUCAACCGUGGAAGGUCAUUGGAAACUGGAAGGCUUGAGUACAGAAGAGGAAAGCGGAAUUCCACGUGUAGCGGUGAAAUGCGUAGAGAUGUGGAGGAACACCAGUGGCGAAGGCGGCUUUCUGGUCUGUAACUGACGCUGAGGCGCGAAAGCGUGGGGAGCGAACAGG
rnacentral:rRNA from 1 species